GCCCCAGGUCUGAGCUGUGGCUCUGCCCUGUCUUCCUCACGAAAGGGAGAGAGGAUGGCUGGGCCUGGGGCUGGGGGCAGCGUGCAUCGCUCCCCAGAGAGGUUUUCACGGAAGACCUCCUAACGUCGCUCCUCCUGCCACAGCCCCCUCCCCACUCCCACACCCCCGUUCUCCUGGUCCUGACUUACGACCGCGUGGGAGCAUUUGCAAGGUCUAGUUUGGUCCACUUAUGCACGGCGGUGCUCACCGGCCAACUACAGUUCUGUGCUAGGACGCAGGGAGAAAGGAGCCUGCUCGGGGCUCGGAAAGAAAGACAUCGAGUGGACGUCACUGAUGCUUUUACGGCGUGCACGCAACCACUCCGCUUUAUUACUCCACGUGGCAGACACACACAUACACACAUGUACACACAUACAUACAUACACAUACACACAUACAUAUAUACACACAUGCAUACACACGCAUAAACACACACACAUACACAUAUUCAUAUAUACAUAUAUAUACACACACAUAUAUACACACACAUACACACAUACACACACAAAUAUACACAUACACACAUACAUAUAUAUACAUGCACACAUUCAUAUAUAUACACAUACAUACACACACAUACAUAUAUACACACAUGCAUACACACACAUAAACACACACAUACACCAUUCAUAUAUAUACAUAUAUACAUACAUAUAUAUACACACGCAUACACACACAAAUAUACACAUACACACAUAUACACACAUACAUAUAUACAUACACACAUUCAUAUAUAUACACAUACAUACAUACACAUACACACAUACAUGUAUACACACAUGCAUACGCACACAAACACACACAUUCAUAUAUACAUAUAUAUACAUAUACACACAUAUGCACACAUAUAUACACAUGCAUACACACAUACACACAUACACCCACAAAUAUACACAUACACACUCACACACACAUACACACAUAUACACAUAUUCACACAUAGACACAUAUAUUCAUAUAUACAUACACAUACACAAAUAUACACAUACACACAUAUACAUACACACGCAUACACAUACAUAUAUGCACACAUACACAUAUAUACACAUAAAUACAUACCCACACAUGCACACAUGCACAUAUAUACACAUACACACAUACACAUACAUGGAUACACACAUACACAUAUACACCUACACACAUACACACAGAGACACAUUCACACAUGCACACACACAUAAACGCAUGUGCAUGCACACACAUACAUGCCUGCACACAUACACAAUACACAUACACACAUGCACACACAUACACA
rnacentral:lncRNA from 1 species